UAGAGUCACAUCAAAGCAUAAAUGAAAACAUCAAUUCUGCAGAAAUACAUGUACAGUUUGAAAACCCGUAUCAGCACAGAGAUAUCUUAGGUGAUCUGUUAUGAAUAGCAGUGCGGUAUACUUGUUGAUUACAACGCCGGUACGUGUACCUAAUGCAUAUCUGUGAAUUAAGGAAUGUACCAGAAGAUCAGUGAUAGGGAAUUAGCUUCGCAUAUAUAGUAAGACGUCAUUCCUAAACCUUCAAAUAUUGCUUACAAUCAAGUUGAUUUAAUUUUGCUGAUGCAAUUUUUGAUUUUCUGUCUGCAAAAUCCCGGUGCUAGUAUCCCCGUGUACAUACAGUUACAGCUACAGACACACAGAAGCGCUACCACUACACUAGCGGGCUCUAUGGAAUAACUGUACCUGGCGCUAAGGAUGAACUAGUACAACACCAAAUGCAAACAACUAUGGUGUGAGGAAUAUCAUCAUCAAUCUAAUUGGACUUUGACUGGCUGUUGGGAGUGGUUGGGCAAUGACACACCUACUUCCGCAGAUGACGUAGUUCUUAUGCAUAUAAUAAACGAGUUUGUGAGUCGUAUAGUAUGCGACUUCAACUGCUAUCCGAGAGGCCACUGAUAUCGCAUUCAAAAUGGUAUUACUGUCCCUUAUCAUCGUCUACUUUCUUGUAUUCACCGCCUUCGCAUUUCCAGAUGGCAUUUUCUACCGUCGAGGGAAAGUGGGUAGAAGGAGUUUUACCGAUGGUGAAUUUAUUGAUGCGUCAACUGAACAUGCUCAAAAUACCGACAAUGGAGAAAUGCUAGUCAGGGAUAGAAAACAUGUCUUUGAAUAUCCAUGGCGAGCACAUGCAAAAUAGGCUUAUACAUGGGCACACCUUGCUGAUCUGACGAAUUGCAGCGAAAAUGAACAAUUUGCAUGUUUAGUUUUUGCUAAAAUUUGAUUAAACUUUAAUCCUUA